rnacentral:rRNA from 1 species
GAUGAAGGGCGUGCUAAUCUGCGAUAAGCGCCGGUAAGGUGAUAUGAACCGUUAUAACCGGCGAUACCCGAAUGGGGAAACCCAGUGUGACUCGUCACACUAUCAUUAACUGAAUCCAUAGGUUAAUGAGGCGAACCGGGGGAACUGAAACAUCUAAGUACCCCGAGGAAAAGAAAUCAACCGAGAUUCCCCCAGUAGCGGCGAGCGAACGGGGAGGAGCCCAGAGCCUGAAUCAGCAUGUGUGUUAGUGGAAGCGUCUGGAAAGGCGCGCGAUACAGGGUGACAGCCCCGUACACAAAAGCGCAUGUGCUGUGAGCUCGAUGAGUAGGGCGGGACACGUGGUAUCCUGUCUGAAUAUGGGGGGACCAUCCUCCAAGGCUAAAUACUCCUGACUGACCGAUAGUGAACCAGUACCGUGAGGGAAAGGCGAAAAGAACCCCGGCGAGGGGAGUGAAAAAGAACCUGAAACCGUGUACGUACAAGCAGUGGGAGCACAGGUUUACCUGUGUGACUGCGUACCUUUUGUAUAAUGGGUCAGCGACUUAUAUUCUGUAGCAAGGUUAACCGUAUAGGGGAGCCGUAGGGAAACCGAGUCUUAACCGGGCGUUAAGUUGCAGGGUAUAGACCCGAAACCCGGUGAUCUAGCCAUGGGCAGGUUGAAGGUUGGGUAACACUAACUGGAGGACCGAACCGACUAAUGUUGAAAAAUUAGCGGAUGACCUGUGGCUGGGGGUGAAAGGCCAAUCAAACCGGGAGAUAGCUGGUUCUCCCCGAAAGCUAUUUAGGUAGCGCCUCGUGAAUUCAUCUCCGGGGGUAGAGCACUGUUUCGGCUAGGGGGCCAUCCCGGCUUACCAACCCGAUGCAAACUGCGAAUACCGGAGAAUGUUAUCACGGGAGACACACGGCGGGUGCUAACGUCCGUCGUGAAGAGGGAAACAACCCAGACCGCCAGCUAAGGUCCCAAAGUCAUGGUUAAGUGGGAAACGAUGUGGGAAGGCCCAGACAGCCAGGAUGUUGGCUUAGAAGCAGCCAUCAUUUAAAGAAAGCGUAAUAGCUCACUGGUCGAGUCGGCCUGCGCGGAAGAUGUAACGGGGCUAAACCAUGCACCGAAGCUGCGGCAGCGACGCUGAUGCGUUGUUGGGUAGGGGAGCGUUCUGUAAGCCUGUGAAGGUGGCCUGUGAGGGUUGCUGGAGGUAUCAGAAGUGCGAAUGCUGACAUAAGUAACGAUAAAGCGGGUGAAAAGCCCGCUCGCCGGAAGACCAAGGGUUCCUGUCCAACGUUAAUCGGGGCAGGGUGAGUCGACCCCUAAGGCGAGGCCGAAAGGCGUAGUCGAUGGGAAACGGGUUAAUAUUCCCGUACUUGGUGUUACUGCGAAGGGGGGACGGAGAAGGCUAUGUUGGCCGGGCGACGGUUGUCCCGGUUUAAGCGUGUAGGUGUGUGUUCCAGGUAAAUCCGGUUCACUUUAACACUGAGGCGUGAUGACGAGGCACUACGGUGCUGAAGCAACAAAUGCCCUGCUUCCAGGAAAAGCCUCUAAGCAUCAGGUAACAUCAAAUCGUACCCCAAACCGACACAGGUGGUCAGGUAGAGAAUACCAAGGCGCUUGAGAGAACUCGGGUGAAGGAACUAGGCAAAAUGGUGCCGUAACUUCGGGAGAAGGCACGCUGACACGUAGGUGAAGUGAUUUACUCAUGGAGCUGAAGUCAGUCGAAGAUACCAGCUGGCUGCAACUGUUUAUUAAAAACACAGCACUGUGCAAACACGAAAGUGGACGUAUACGGUGUGACGCCUGCCCGGUGCCGGAAGGUUAAUUGAUGGGGUCAGCGCAAGCGAAGCUCCUGAUCGAAGCCCCGGUAAACGGCGGCCGUAACUAUAACGGUCCUAAGGUAGCGAAAUUCCUUGUCGGGUAAGUUCCGACCUGCACGAAUGGCGUAAUGAUGGCCAGGCUGUCUCCACCCGAGACUCAGUGAAAUUGAACUCGCUGUGAAGAUGCAGUGUACCCGCGGCAAGACGGAAAGACCCCGUGAACCUUUACUAUAGCUUGACACUGAACAUUGAGCCUUGAUGUGUAGGAUAGGUGGGAGGCUUUGAAGCGUGGACGCCAGUCUGCAUGGAGCCGGCCUUGAAAUACCACCCUUUAAUGUUUGAUGUUCUAACGUGGACCCGUGAUCCGGGUUGCGGACAGUGUCUGGUGGGUAGUUUGACUGGGGCGGUCUCCUCCUAA